rnacentral:rRNA from 1 species
GGAGUUUGGGCCGUGUCUCAGUCCCAAUGUGGCCGGUCGCCCUCUCAGGUCGGCUACUGAUCGUCGCUUUGGUGGGCCGUUACCCCGCCAACUGGCUAAUCAGACGCGGGACCAUCCUAUACCGUCGGAGCUUUUCACACUGCGCCAUGCGGCACCGUGCGCUUAUGCGGUAUUAGCAGCCGUUUCCGGCUGUUAUCCCCCUGUAUAGGGCAGGUUUCCCACGCGUUACUCACCCGUCCGCCACUAAGUCGUCCCAAUUGAAUCUACUUUGAGCAAGCUCUCCAUUUCAUCGGGCGGGACGCUUCGUUCGACUUGCAUGUGUUAAGCACGCCGCCAGCGUUCAUC